UACGUAGGGGGCAAGCGUUGUCCGGAAUCAUUGGGCGUAAAGGGCGCGUAGGCGGUGGGGUAAGUCUGGUGUGAAAUCUCGGAGCUCAACUUCGAAAUUGCACUGGAUACUGCUCUGCUAGAGGGCUGGAGAGGAGAUCGGAAUUCACGGUGUAGCAGUGAAAUGCGUAGAUAUCGUGAGGAAGACCAGUGGCGAAGGCGGAUCUCUGGACAGCUCCUGACGCUGAGGCGCGAAGGCUAGGGGAGCAAACGGG
rnacentral:rRNA from 1 species